GUGCUCACUUUAGCAGCACAUAUACUAAAGUUAGAACAAUACAGAGAAAAUUAGAAUGGCCUCUGCACAAAAAAGACAUGCAAAUUUGUGAAGCAUUCCAUAUUUUG
ensembl:snRNA U6 U6 spliceosomal RNA